GUGAGGAAUAUUGGUCAAUGGGCGAGAGCCUGAACCAGCCAAGUCGCGUGAAGGAAGAAGGAUCUAUGGUUCGUAAACUUCUUUUGCAGGGGAAUAAAGUGCAGGACGUGUCCUGUUUUGUAUGUACCCUGAGAAUAAGGAUCGGCUAACUCCGUGCCAGCAGCCGCGGUAAUACGGAGGAUCCGAGCGUUAUCAGGAUUUAUUGGGUUUAAAGGGUGCGUAGGUGGUUUGAGAAGUCAGCGGUGAAAGUUUGCAGCUUAACUGUAAAAAUGCCGUUGAAACUGUCGGACUUGAGUGUAAAUGAGGUAUGCGGAAUGCGUGGUGUAGCGGUGAAAUGCAUAGAUAUCACGCAGAACUCCGAUUGCGAAGGCAGCUUACUAAGCUACAACUGACACUGAAGCACGAAAGCGUGGGGAUCAAACAGGAUUAGAAACCCUGGUAGUCC
rnacentral:rRNA from 1 species